GUGCCCGCAGCCUCCGGGGCCCAGAGCGGUUCCCGCAUUGUGCCCGGCGGGGUCACCGAUUUCCGGGACGAUCGUCGUCGCUGUUCUGGGGAUCAAACCAAGACCUUGAGCAUGCUAGGCACAUACGUACUCUACCGCUGAGCUACACUCCCAACUGGAAGGGGAUUCAUUCUGAGAAGUGUGUUGUGAGCCACAGGGGACUGGUUCCGGGACGCCUCGCCACCACCAAUGCCAGAAUCACAGAUGUUCAAGUUCCUUAUGGAAAAUGGCAUAGGGGUUGCAUGUAGCCUAUGGAUGUCCUCCUGUGAAUUGUACCAUGUCUGGAUUUGGAUUUCUUCUGAUAUGUAAUUCACUAUCAAUGCCACAUGAAGAGUUGCUAUGUCAAUAGUAUAGUUUGAGGAAUGAUGACAAAAAAGGUCUGGG